rnacentral:rRNA from 1 species
GAGACACGGUCCAAACUCCUACGGGAGGCAGCAGUGAGGAAUAUUGGUCAAUGGGCGAUGGCCUGAACCAGCCAAGUAGCGUGAAGGAUGACUGCCCUAUGGGUUGUAAACUUCUUUUAUAAAGGAAUAAAGUCGGGUAUGCAUACCCGUUUGCAUGUACUUUAUGAAUAAGGAUCGGCUAACUCCGUGCCAGCAGCCGCGGUAAUACGGAGGAUCCGAGCGUUAUCCGGAUUUAUUGGGUUUAAAGGGAGCGUAGAUGGAUGUUUAAGUCAGUUGUGAAAGUUUGCGGCUCAACCGUAAAAUUGCAGUUGAUACUGGAUGUCUUGAGUGCAGUUGAGGCAGGCGGAAUUCGUGGUGUAGCGGUGAAAUGCUUAGAUAUCACGAAGAACUCCGAUUGCGAAGGCAGC